rnacentral:rRNA from 1 species
UAGUCAUAUGCUUGUCCCAAAGAUUAAGCCAUGCAUGUCUAAGUAUAAACAAUUUUUUACAGUGAAACUGCGAAUGGCUCAUUAUAUCAGUUAUAAUUUAUUUGAUAGUCUCUUUACUACUCGGAUAACCGUGGUAAUUCUAGAGCUAAUACGUGCUUAUAGCCUGACUGCUUGCGGAAGGGCUGCAUUUAUUAGAUAAAAAACCAAUGCCAGCAAUGGCCACUGGUGAUUCAUAAUAACUGUGCGGAUCGUAUGGCCUUGCGCCGACGACGUUUCAU